CCUGGCGGCCGUAGCGCGGUGGUCCCACCUGACCCCAUGCCGAACUCAGAAGUGAAACGCCGUAGCGCCGAUGGUAGUGUGGGGUCUCC
rnacentral:rRNA from 5 species